GACGAACGCUGGCGGCGUGCUUAACACAUGCAAGUCGAACGGAAAGGCCCUGCUUGCAGGGUGCUCGAGUGGCGAACGGGUGAGUAACACGUGGGUGAUCUGCCCCUUACUUUGGGAUAAGCCUAGGAAACUGGGUCUAAUACUGGAUAGGACCAUGCUGUAGGUGGUGUGGUGGAAAGAUUAGUUUCGGUAAGGGAUGAGCUCGCGGCCUAUCAGCUUGUUGGUGGGGUAAUGGCCUACCAAGGCGUCGACGGGUAGCCGGCCUGAGAGGGUGGACGGCCACAUUGGGACUGAGAUACGGCCCAGACUCCUACGGGAGGCAGCAGUGGGGAAUAUUGCACAAUGGGCGCAAGCCUGAUGCAGCGACGCCGCGUGGGGGAUGACGGCCUUCGGGUUGUAAACUCCUUUCAGCCAUGACGAAGCCCUUGUGGUGACGGUAGUGGUAGAAGAAGCACCGGCUAACUACGUG
rnacentral:rRNA from 1 species